UCUACGUCAUAUUGUGUUGACGACCAUCAACAUUGUUGACAUCGAGGGGCGUUUCUUAUUAUAACCUCAAUGCGAGGGUCAUGCCUUUUUAUACACGUGUGGUGGAUUACUGUUCAUUAUUGUUUUAUCUCCAUUAAAGUACCUGGUCACGAUGCUCUCUAUUUUAAAAUGCUGUUUUGGUUUCUAGACAGUUGCAGAGGACUCUGUCUUCUCAGACCGAGGGAGAGACCCGAAUUGCACAUAUUCUCAAAGAGAAGUUUACAUCGGCCACGUCUCUAAAAGUUGUGGACAUAUCAGGUGGCUGUGGUGUCAUGUAUGAAGUCCACAUAGAAUCCAAUGAAUUUAAAGGGAAAAGAACUGUUCAACAACACCAACUAGUCAACCAGGCACUCAAGGAGGAGAUCCAAGGAAUGCAUGGACUACGAAUAUUCACAGAUGUUCCUCGAGAGUAGGACCAAGCCCUUUCACAAAUUGUAGGUCUUUGAACAUACACCCCUCAAACGGAAUGCUCAUAUGCUGAUUACAUUUUGAUCUGAGGAUGAACACCCCAAAAUCUCAGAUGAAUUGCUGAUGUGUCUAUGACAGUAACAAAGGAAAUGGUUUGUCCUGUUAUUUCCUGAUAGUAUUGUCAGAAAUAAUCUGUAGAAUUUAUGGUAGGGACACAUUUUACAAUGCCAAUUGUGUAAUAAAUUUAACUCUAAAACCAUCCUAUAUUUUUAUUUAUUUACCAUAAACACAGUUAAAUUAUUGAUGAGAUUGAUGAUGAGAUUAUUCGAAUGCUGCCUUUACAGAAGACAUUGACCUAAAAAGCUAUGAUACGCACAAAAUAACGCUGUCAGGAUUCAUUAGUAAAUUGCCAAGUCAAUUAGCCCCCUAACCAAUUGAGUUGGCCUAUAGUGUUUUUAACCAUUGUAAAGAUAGAAUGCAAAUACAUUGUAGUGAACAGUCAGAAAACCUCAUGAUAAGACGACUAGCUAUGCAAAUAUUCAUGUACGUUUCAUUUGUAAUUGAAAAUCCUUCCUAUAUUUGUGUUUUUGUUUAGUGUAGUAGUUGUUUGUUUAAGUCACGAGACAAGUUUCGAUUCCGUUUCCAGUAUUUAUGUUCUGUUAUUUCUCCUUGUUAACCAUAAAUGUAGAAAUAAAAGUAUAUGAUUCAAAGGACAAAAACACAGGACACUUAUGUCUUUAUUAAAGGGAUACUUCAGGAUUUUGCCUACACUACUGUAGAAUUUAUAAUUUGCAGGUGUCUAACAACCUCAUUAGAUAGUAAUAAUCACUGUGUGGGCCUACUCCUACUGUGUGUCCCCAAUGCGACCCAUACUUGGUAAAUGUAUACUGCAGUUUUUUCUACUGUGAAAUUCACCAUUAGGUGGGGCCCCCUAGCUAUUUCCCCAAUAUUUGUGUUAGUACUUCAAGUGAGAAUACAUUUUACUACAUGGUAGCCUUCUUGAGAUGUAAAUGUGUUGCUCGCUUAUUCAUUAACAGGUUAUGAUUGGAUUAUAGACAUGAAAACUAUUGCCAGGAAAUGGACAUUAAUAAUUUUGAUAUUCCCCAAAUACUGAUAUAGAGUGUCAUGUAGCCUAUGUGUUGUUGUAGUCAAUCAAUGUUAGGUCUGUGUUUUGAUACUCACAAAUAUUAGAAUUUACGUGCCUGGAAGAAGAAAUUUGUGAAUAACCCUGUCUGAUCACGUGCUCAUUUGUAGGCACAAUAGUGGAAUUUGCAGUUCAUCUUCAAAAUAAGUCCCCCAUUGAAAGUGAUGCAAAGAGAUAAAAAUAGUGGAAUCAUGCCAUAUUUGGACAGAAUAAUCCUAAACAAAGUUGCACUGAUCGGUUGAGAGACGCACUUUGCAUAGGAGUGAUGCCAUCUGACAUAAGACAAUGAUCCCACUGUGGAUGUAUUAGACUACAUAAUUGCAGUGGGGGGAAAUACAUACAGUACCUGUCACGCCCUGACCUUA